CCACCAGUUCCAUAUAAUCCAUCAAUUUCAUCUGCCAUUCCUCCAGCGUUGGAAGUUCUUGUGUCUUCCAAUACUUUGCGAUGAGUAUUCUUGCUGCUGUUGUUGCAUACAUAAAGUUCUAUCCUUUUUUAACACCAUUUGGCCGACUAUGCCCAGGAGAAAGGCCUCUGGUUUCUUGGGGAAGGUAUAUUUGAAUACCUUUUUUAAUUCAUUAUAUAUCAUUUCCCAGAAAGCCUUAAUCUUUGGGCACGUCCACCAAAGGUGAAAAAAUGUACCUUCAGUUUCUUUACAUUUCCAACAUUUAUUAUCGGGCAAAUGAUAGAUUUUUGCAAGCUUGACUGGGG